GAAGUAUCUGUGAAAAUUAGAGCUUGGAUUUUGUCGUCUAUUUAGGAGAAAGAAAACGAAAAGAACCAGUAAAACGAAGCUAAAAGUGUUUCCAGCGCGGAAAAUUUUCACUUGCGUCGCAAGAUUAUCACUGCAACAAUCAGCAGAGUGUUAAAGAAGACAUAUGCGAGCCAGGAAUAGAUUCUGUGGACGAGUUAGGUACAUCUAUCAUCUAGUCAAUCCAUUAAGUUCCUCAGCUGUAAAUAAAUCAAACAUAUCGUUCAGAUACCCCACUUAGGUGAUAAAUUUCAAUG